rnacentral:rRNA from 1 species
UACGGGGGGAGCAAGCGUUGUUCGGAUUUACUGGGCGUAAAGGGCGCGUAGGCGGUCAGCACAAGUCAGUUGUGAAAUCUCCGGGCUUAACUCGGAAAGGUCAACUGAUACUGUGCGACUAGAGUGCGGAAGGGGCAACUGGAAUUCUCGGUGUAGCGGUGAAAUGCGUAGAUAUCGAGAGGAACACCUGCGGCGAAGGCGACAUCCUGGACCGGUAUUGACGCUGAGGCGCGAAAGCCAGGGGAGCAAACGGG